GGUGAAGGACAUUUAGGCUAUGUUCCAAGCAGACAUGGCGCUAGUAAGGGCAGACGUAGCCACACUCACCAAUAAAGUGGCAAAUGUGGAAGAGGGCCUGAGGGACACUAAACUGGCGCAAAGUGCCACGGACGCGGCGCUGAACUUACUCCGCAAGCAAUACGCAGACCAACAAACCCAGCUGGCUGGCAUGGAAGACCGGUACAAGGCAAGAAACCUGCGGGUCCGUGGAGUGCCGGAGACACUCACCGGCUCGGAAUUGCCGCACUAUUGCCGACGGCUGAUAGCCACUUUACUUACGCCAAGACAAGCUAAGUUGAUCACGAUAGACUCUUGUUUCAGACUCACCAGGGCGGCCGCCACACCACGCGAAGGAGCUGGUGACGUACUGAUUAAAUUUAUGCGGGACUCUGACAGGGGCAUGAUUAUGGGGGCUUCAAGAGGCUCCCCCACGGUGGCGUUUGAAGGGGCACAACUAACGUUCUAUAAAGACUUCUCCAGACACACCAUGAUGUGGAGGAAGUCCUUUCGCCCAGUCACCCAGCUACUCCGGGAACAAGCCAUCCCCUACAAAUGGGGCCCACACCGACUACAGGCAGAAAAGGCGGGCGAAACACAUAAGCUGUCUCACGCAUCUGAUAUACCAGCCUUCCUGCAGGCACUCGGCCUUCCAGCGCUAACGACACAGCAGUUGACCCAUCCAACAUGGACUGUAGCGGAGAUUACCCCCUUCGUGCCUAGAAGAGAGGCUCAGAAAACCUCUGCCCUACAAACCUGAAGCAGCAGCAGAGCAGGGCCCACACGCCCUUAACCUGUUGCGCCUGACAAGGGACAUACCUGAUCCGUUCCACGUUUGUUCUUGGUUAUACCCAAUACUGAUGCUGUUGGUUAUUGUUUUUUAUUUCUGUUUUUAUUCUCCCUUUUCUCUCCACCAAAUGCUGCUUCUUAACAUUAUGCUCUUCCCAAACCCGCACAAUACUGGCUCCGUAAGCUUUCAUAAUAAUCACACGUAUUGAGCCACUUUCACCCCCCCCCCUCCUAACAACCAGAGUGCGUUACACAGCUCGAAAUAUACCGCACACUACCUGCUGCACUCUCAGCUAGCGACUUAGUUGACCACACCCAGCUGAGACACACAUACCUUCCCUAACUCACCUAACUAAGGUCCCACGCUCAACACUAGCACAUUCAAAGGUGCCUUGAUACCAACUACAAGUUAUACCUUGACACAAGCAUGCAGGCACCUAACGCUACACAAUGCCUUUAAUACACAUUAUUUAAAAAUAAAAACGAGGCUGACAAGUUUCGGAGAUGUUGUAUGGUAAACUGUGAUACCCCAUCCUGUAUGACUUUUAUUGUCUCCCUUUCUUUAUUCUGUACCCAUAAAGUCUAUGCCUCAAUAAAAGAAAGAAUGAAAAAAAAAAAAAAGAA